rnacentral:rRNA from 1 species
GGCUUAACACAUGCAAGUCGAGGGGCAGCAUGAAUAUNGGCUUGCCAAUAUUUGAUGGCGACCGGCGCACGGGUGAGUAACACGUAUUCCAACCUUCCGGUUACUCGGGGAUAGGCUUUCGAAAGAAAGAUUAAUACCCGAUGUUGUGUAUCUUUCUCCUGAUUGAUACGCCAAAGGAUUCCGGUAACCGAUGGGGAUGCGUUCCAUUAGGCAGUUGGCGGGGUAACGGCCCACCAAACCUUCGAUGGAUAGGGGUUCUGAGAGGAAGGUCCCCCACAUUGGAACUGAGACACGGUCCAAACUCCUACGGGAGGCAGCAGUGAGGAAUAUUGGUCAAUGGACGGAAGUCUGAACCAGCCAAGUAGCGUGAAGGAUGACUGCCCUCUGGGUUGUAAACUUCUUUUAUACGGGAAUAACAUGAGGUACGGGUACCUUA